rnacentral:rRNA from 1 species
CCUACGGGAGGCAGCAGUGAGGAAUAUUGGUCAAUGGCCGGAAGGCUGAACCAGCCAAGUCGCGUGAGGGAAUAAGGCCCUAUGGGUCGUAAACCUCUUUUGUCAGGGAGCAAAGGCGUCCACGUGUGGACGAGAGGAGAGUACCUGAAGAAAAGGCAUCGGCUAACUCCGUGCCAGCAGCCGCGGUAAUACGGAGGAUGCGAGCGUUAUCCGGAUUUAUUGGGUUUAAAGGGUGCGUAGGCGGAGUGUCAAGUCAGCGGUAAAAUUUCGGGGCUCAACCCCGUCGUGCCGUUGAAACUGACGCCCUUGAGUGAGUGAGAAGUAAGCGGAAUGCGUGGUGUAGCGGUGAAAUGCUUAGAUAUUGCGCAGAACUCCGAUUGCGAAGGCAGCAUACCGGCGGCGAUCUGACGCUGAGGCACGAAAGCGUGGGUAUCGAACAGGAUUAGAUACCCUUGUAGUC